GGGGAAUCUUCCGCAAUGGGCGAAAGCCUGACGGAGCAACGCCGCGUGAGUGAAGAAGGUCUUCGGAUCGUAAAGCUCUGUUGACGGGGACGAAUGUUGAGACCAAGAACAUAGGUUUCAAAUGACGGUACCUGACGAGGAAGCCACGGCUAACUACGUGCCAGCAGCCGCGGUAAUACGUAGGUGGCGAGCGUUGUCCGGAAUUAUUGGGCGUAAAGGGAGCGCAGGCGGGAAGGUAAGUCUAUCUUAAAAGUGCGGGGCUCAACCCCGUGAGGGGAUAGAAACUAUUUUUCUUGAGUGCAGGAGAGGAAAGCGGAAUUCCUAGUGUAGCGGUGAAAUGCGUAGAUAUUAGGAGGAACACCAGUGGCGAAGGCGGCUUUCUGGACUGUAACCGACGCUGAGGCUCGAAAGCCAGGGGAGCGAAC
rnacentral:rRNA from 1 species